rnacentral:rRNA from 1 species
GACGAACGCUGGCGGCGUGCCUAACACAUGCAAGUCGAAUGAGGUCCAUGCAGUGGCAACACUGCGGAAGACCUAGUGGCGAACGGGUGAGUAACACGUGAGGAACCUGCCCCCGAAGACCGGGAUAACCCUCCGAAAGGAGAGCUAAUACCGGAUACCCCCACCGGAUCGCAUGAUCUGGUGAGGAAAUGGAUUCCGCUUCGGGAGGGCCUCGCGGCCUAUCAGCUAGUUGGUGGGGUAACGGCCCACCAAGGCAUCGACGGGUAGCUGGUCUGAGAGGACGAUCAGCCACACUGGGACUGAGACACGGCCCAGACUCCUACGGGAGGCAGCAGUGGGGAAUCUUGCGCAAUGGGCGAAAGCCUGACGCAG